AAAAAAAAAGAGGAGGGAAACGGGAUUUUAAAGGGGGGAAAAUCGCCUUGCGGGGCUGCUGCUGGGACGCGCACCUACCUGAGGAGCGCGGGCACCGCUCGGUGACUGCAGCCGUAUGAAAGCGAAAGGAACGGACCCCCCCGGAGCCCCACGGCCCGGCGCUGCCCGAGGGGACCCGGCCGGAGCGGGGUUCGGUCCCCGUAUGCCCGCAUCGACGGCGGCGGGGACGGGAGGAGCCGCGCAGCUCCUCGGCUCCGUGCGCCAAAACAAACCGGCCCCUCCUGGUCUGGGUUUAAAUGGAGCUCACGGGAUAAUUAACUCCAUCUUUGCAGCCCCGCUUUAACUGUUUGUUUAGUGUCACCCCGUAUUACCGUCACCGGCACUUUCCUCUGAACGGGAGGAGCCGGAGGGCUUCGCCUCCCCGGAGGAAAUUCUUCGGAGCUUAAACAAAAAUACGUAUCAACGUAAAAAAAACAGCAAGUGGAUGGGAAAGGAGCCCUCUCCAACACAAACCUCAUUGACUAAUGGGGCGGUUUUGGGUUUCGCCUUCGAAAGGUUCGGAAAUCGGCAGCGUUCUGUUACCGCCCGCCCGGCUCCAGCCCAGAGCCCGCGGCUCUUAUCGGACACCGCUCCCAGCGCUCCCUUCUGCUGCUCCUCUCUCCAGAAACCCGCACUUUAAAAACACAUAGAGAGCUUUAGGUUUAUUUGGUAGGCUUAUUUCUAAGGCCGGAGGGGCAGAGGGGGGCCGCGUUUUCUAUCUUUCCUAUACAAUUCUUUUUUUUUUUUUUUUUUUUCGGCGAAAUCGGUGAAAAACGGCCGAGCGCUGCCCCGGCCCCAUCCCCAUCCCCGCUCCGCAUCGAAUAAACCCGCGGAGAUGUGCGCUCCUGCGCAGGGAUCGGGGCCGGGGUGAGCCCGACCCGUACGGCACAGAACCUCCCCGAGCCGCCCUGCCGCCGUUCGGCCGUUCGCUUCGAGCUCCGUUCCUUUGCUUUUAUUCGAGCGCUUCGAAACCAUUUCUCGUCUGAAUUUAUGGGGCUAAACGGAGCGUGAGGUUCGGAAAUCCGUGCCGUUUUGCUUCUUUCGGGUGGUUUGAAGCGAAAACUUUCCGUUUGUUUUGUAGGAAAAGCAGCGGGUAACGCACGCCGCUGGGAGCGGCCCCGGCCGCAGCGCUGCCCGCGGGCGCAGCCCCGUUCGCUCCGCGGGCGCUGUGGGGCGCGGAGCGGCGCGGCCCCGGUGGGGGCUGAGCCCCAACGUUCGGGUUCGGCCUUGGGAAGGGACCGGCAGGGAGAAGCCGCUCUCGUUACAAACCAGGGCUCCUCACGGCCCCGCUUUGCGUUCUUCACCCCUUAGCCCUGAAGGGACGAACCCUCAGGUCCGUGCUUCCCAAACGUCUUGGAAAAUUAGAGGAAGAGCGCAUUGUAAUAAAGGGAAAGGGACCGGGGAGCGCGUCCCGGGCUCGGUGCGGCCGUGGCACCGCUCCUGCGGGAGGCUCGGAGCCCACCGCUGUAAUUCUGCGCACUUGCUCCAGACUUUAGGGUAUUAGUUGGUGUUAGAGCCGGGUUUAAGGCUCCGUUCCGGUCCCCACGCAGCUGCCUUGUCAAUAAGGAUCUGUUCCAAGCAGACAUUCCUUCUGGGAGGACAUUGCAGCUCUUUAAGACUUCAUCUGCAACAUCACAAGCACUAAAAUAAAAUGGAAGGGAAAAUUAGCAGACACGCGGUCACGGGACACGGCGGUGCCCGAGCGGUGCAGAGCGGACAGACGGGCGGCAGCGCCUUAUUUAACCGCCCCGAGAAGAGAAAUACGUGGGAAAAACAACCACCGGGGCACGGGGGGACGGCGGCGGGGCCUGCGGCCGGGGUGCGGCGGGAGGGACCCGGCCGGGUCCACCCGGAGGGUUCGGGGCCGGGUAUCGGGUACCGGGAUGGGGGCAGCGGGAGCACCGCCGGCCACAGCUCGGAGCCCUCCCCGGCCGGGCCGUGCGGAGCUCUCACGGCGGAAUAAAUCACCCCGCUCUCAGAGAAGACGAACAGGUUUUCAAGAGCUCCUCGAUUGUUCUCAGAACCCACGGAGUGAGCCCAAACGCCGGCUGGAGGGUGCUCAAAGCGCAGCGCUCCGCUUAUCUCAGCGCGUAUAAACGCUGCCAUAAAGACACCCUCAUCCCCGCCCUUAUCUCAGCGCAUUGUCCCCAUCUCCCAGCCCGCCCCGGCUCCCGACGGCAGCUUAUCUCUGCUUGGGGAACCUAAUUGCUUUCUAAUUUUUGCAAUAAUUGCUUUGGAGCGAGGUGUGCAGAUGAGGAUUUGGGCGAAUGAAAGCGCCGCCGCCGGCUUUUCUCUUCCCCCUUCCCCGGGGGCGGCUCCGAGGGCCGCUCUCUGCCGACCUGAGCGGUCCCGGCCCGGACCCCCCCCGGCUGAGGGGGAGGCGGAGAGGUGCGGGGGGGGCCGCGCCUCCGCUCUGCUAUUCAGCGCGCGGCAUCCGCUGUGCGGCCGAGCGGUAUUUAUUCAUUCACGCCUGGAGUGAGAGUGAUGGAAGACGGGACGAGGAGUGGAGUUUAGAGAAUGGAGAAGAAAGAAAAGAAAGAAAUGAAAGUAUAUGAAAGGAAAUAAAUGAAAGAGAGAAUUAAAAGAAAAAAAGAAAAAAGAAAAAAAGGAAAAAAAGAAAAAAAAAGGAAAAAAGGAAAAAAAGGAAAAAUAAAGGAAAAAAGAAAAAAUGAAGAAAAAAGAAAGUAAAAAUAAAGAAAGCAAAAGGAGAAAACAAAGAAAGAGAAAUGAAAAGGUACCAAACGAAGCGGAAUGGAAGCGGGAGAGCCGCGCAGAUGCCCGCGGGGUGCGGGGCGCGCGUUUUGCCCGGCGCUCCCCCCGCAGCCUCAGCCUCAGCCG
ensembl:lncRNA